rnacentral:rRNA from 1 species
GUCCUAGCCGUAAACUUUGGAUACUAGGUGUGGGAGGUAUCGACCCCUCCCGUGCCGCAGCUAACGCAUUAAGUAUCCCGCCUGGGGAGUACGGUCGCAAGACUGAAACUCAAAAGAAUUGACGGGGGCCCGCACAAGCUGUGGAGCAUGUGGUUUAAUUCGACGCAACGCGAAGAACCUUACCAGGGUUUGACAUGUAGGUAGUAGGAACCCGAAAGGGGGACGAUUCCGUAGUAAUACGGAAAGCUUACACAGGUGCUGCAUGGCUGUCGU